AGCUAGUUGGCGGGGUAAAGGCCCACCAAGGCGACGAUGGGUAGCUGGUCUGAGAGGAUGAUCAGCCACACUGGAACUGAGACACGGUCCAGACUCCUACGGGAGGCAGCAGUGGGGAAUUUUGCGCAAUGGGGGAAACCCUGACGCAGCAACGCCGCGUGAGUGAUGAAGGCCCUUGGGUCGUAAAGCUCUGUCAGAGGUCGGUGGUUAAUAACCCGCU
rnacentral:rRNA from 1 species